rnacentral:misc_RNA from 1 species
GCAAACUUGGUCAUUUAGAGGAAGUAAAAGUCGUAACAAGGUUUCCGUAGGUGAACCUGCGGAAGGAUCAUUAUUGAAAGACAAAACUGAAAUAGGUUGUUGCUGGCUUUUAUAAGUAUGUGCACACCUGUUUCAUUUUUCCAACCCACCACCUGUGCACCUUUUGUAAAUCUGAGAGACUUUCAAAGUAUUGACACUUUGGUUUGAGAACUGCUAUUCUUGUAGCUUUUCUUGCAUUUCUCAGAUUUAUGCUAUUUUACACACACUAUGGAUGUAUGUAUAUGAAUGAUCGAAAUAAAUUGAAACAACUUUCAACAAUGGAUCUCUUGGCUCUCGCAUCGAUGAAGAACGCAGC